GACGAACGCUGGCGGCGUGCUUAACACAUGCAAGUCGAACGAUGAACCCGGAGCUUGCUCUGGGGGAUUAGUGGCGAACGGGUGAGUAACACGUGAGUAACCUGCCCUGGACUCUGGGAUAAGCGUUGGAAACGACGUCUAAUACCGGAUAGGGCCUUGGAUCGCAUGAUCUGGGGUGGAAAGUUUUUUCGGUCUGGGAUGGACUCGCGGCCUAUCAGCUUGUUGGUGAGGUAAUGGCUCACCAAGGCGUCGACGGGUAGCCGGCCUGAGAGGGUGACCGGCCACACUGGGACUGAGACACGGCCCAGACUCCUACGGGAGGCAGCAGUGGGGAAUAUUGCACAAUGGGCGAAAGCCUGAUGCAGCAACGCCGCGUGCGGGAUGACGGCCUUCGGGUUGUAAACCGCUUUUAGUAGGGAAGAAGGGCUUCGGCUUGACGGUACCUGCAGAAAAAGGACCGGCUAACUACGUG
rnacentral:rRNA from 1 species